GACCGCCGGAUAAAACCGGCUAAGGCCAUACGGACAGCCGGGUCGGAUGCCGA
rnacentral:sRNA from 1 species